rnacentral:tRNA from 1 species
GGGGAAUGAGCUCAAGUGGUAGAGCACUUGCUUAGUGUGUGAGAGACAGUGGGAUUGAUGCCCAUGUUCUCCA